GAUAUAUGAACACGUCGUAAACAGCAACCACUCGCUCACACAAGAAACGAGGUACCCAACGUUGCUAGACACCAUCCGAACUCCAAAGUGAGAGUAGCAAAACAACAAGAUAUCAAAACACGAAAGGAAGAGUAUUUAUCCCCCCUCCCUUCUAUAGCAUGCAAAACGUGAUUUGCGCUGAGAUGAACAUAUAUGUUCAUGACGCGAGUAAUUUUCACUUUUCACUGAUCCAAAGGAGGUCACGUGGGAUUGCUUGGCGUUUGCGAAAUUAACAGCAAUGAAAAUGGCGAAACGAAACUUGUGAAUCGUGCAUUUGCUCUUCAUGGUAGCUGCCAGAAAAUCGAAUCAAGCUUAUGGGACACUGGAUUACAGGUUGCUGCCACUACUCCAUGUGCCCGCAAUUGUCUUGCGUGUAUGAUUACACUAACGACGUCGCCCACCACGGCGGAAGUGUUUUGCGUACACGCGUUUCAGCAUGAAGCCUGCAGGUGGACGUAAAUUGUAGAAGGCAGCUAGUGGGGGAGAAGAUCAUGGUCAUAGGUCAUAUGGCUCCUGGAGCUCCCAGUGGGCUCCCUUGUGGAGUACUUUUCAGAACACACACACAGUUCGCUCACAGAACCAACGAGUAGGAUGUUACUUGAAUACUGAGAGAAAAUGGCGUAACACAUACAAAU